CACCAGUGAAAGAGGGGAAGUUGCUACUGUGAUGAAUUCUGCCAUGUGGUACCAGACUGCUGCCCAGACCACAGUGUCCUCUGCAACCCUGGUAACUCACAUACAGGCCUGAUUCCACCUACAGCAAAGCUGGAUGCUAUGGUUGGCAGAGGCAAGCCCCUUGCCUGCACUUCAGGCCAAAGCCGGGAUGUGGCCUAGAUGGUUCCUAAGGUCCCUGACAGUCCUGAGAUCUUUCAUCUUGUCUAUUUCAGGUCAAAGCUUCUCAGAUGACCAAGAUGGUGCUGCCGAUGGUGUUGAGGACGGAGAACCCACCAAGCCCCGUUAGGAGCCACCUAGACUGGAUGCAGAGCACAGGGUAGGAGCCAGGAUUGCUGUCUGUGGACACUGAAAUUUGAAUCUCAUAUAGUUUUCAUGUGUCACAAAACUUUAUUCUUCUUUUGUUCUUCUCCUACCAUCUAAAAAUGUAGAAAACAUUCUUAGCUAUGAGUUGCACAAAAACAGGCAGUGGCCAGAUUUGGUCCAUAGACCAUAGUUUGCUGACUUCUGCCCUAAAUCAUCCUCCAUUUCUUUCCUUCUGUGCCCUUGUUACUGACAAAGCCACUUCCCCUAAAAUGGGGUCUUUCCCUGUUUGGUGCCAUGAAGCCAA
rnacentral:lncRNA from 1 species